AGUCCCAUGAGGAACUGCAAGACUUACAGCUACAGGCAUGGCUCCAGAAACAGAUGCAUGCUGGGAUUUGCAGUUUCACCACAGCUGGAAGGCUGAAAUGGCUCCCAACCUAAGA